rnacentral:rRNA from 1 species
GACGAACGCUGGCGGCGUGCCUAAUACAUGCAAGUAGAACGCUGAAGGAGGAGCUUGCUUCUCCGGAUGAGUUGCGAACGGGUGAGUAACGCGUAGGUAACCUGCCUGGUAGCGGGGGAUAACUAUUGGAAACGAUAGCUAAUACCGCAUAAGAGUAGAUGUCGCAUGACAUUUGCUUAAAAGGUGCAACUGCACCACUACCAGAUGGACCUGCGUUGUAUUAGCUAGUUGGUGAGGUAACGGCUCACCAAGGCAACGAUACAUAGCCGACCUGAGAGGGUGAUCGGCCACACUGGGACUGAGACAAGGCCCAGACUCCUACGGGAGGCAGCAGUAGGGAAUCUUCGGCAAUGGACGGAAGUCUGACCGAGCAACGCCGCGUGAGUGAAGAAGGUUUUCGGAUCGUAAAGCUCUGUUGUAAGAGAAGAACGAGUGUGAGAGUGGAAAGUUCACACUGUGACGGUAUCUUACCAGAAAGGGACGGCUAACUACGUG